UACGUAGGGGGGCAAGCGUUGUCCGGAAUCAUUGGGCGUAAAGAGCGCGUAGGCGGCCCAGUCAGUCCGCUCUGAAAGUCAGGGGCUCAACCCCUGAAUGCGGGUGGAUACUGCUGGGCUAGAGUCCGGAAGAGGCGAGUGGAAUUCCUGGUGUAGCGGUGAAAUGCGCAGAUAAUCAGGAGGAACACCGAUGGCGAAGGCAGCUCGCUGGGACGGUACUGACGCUGAGGAGCGAAAGCAUGGGGAGCGAACAGG
rnacentral:rRNA from 1 species